rnacentral:lncRNA from 1 species
UACUAACAUCAUAAUAUGCAUUAUACAUUUAAUCAAGGUUUAUCUACAUGUAUGCAUGCAUCAAAAGUCCACAAAAUAAUCUAAACAUAACAUAUACAUCACUUAGAUAUAUGGACAUAUCUACCAGCAACUGAAAGAAUAAUUUUCUUUUUAUUAUCAUUUGGAGAAUUAUUUUCUAAACAUGAAAAAUGGCAUAAAUUCUUCCCACAGAAGAAGUGAAUAUGCAGUGUUCCUUACAUGGUCUUAAGUUUCAGAACAGACUCAAAUCAUUGAAGGAGUUUGACAAAUAAGCACAUUAUCAGAUAGAAACGGUCCAAGGCAUAGGCUAAGUUUAAGGUGAAAUCAUUCGCUAAACUUGCAAGUUAUAAGCUCCCGAGCUUUACAAUCAAGAGUGGUUACUUAAGUUCAUCCACUUGUCAAUUGAAUGGCAUUCUGGUUGCUAUUUGCAGUCAUAAUUAGCUAUAUCUGCAGUUAUAUAUCCAUUCAACAUCUUAUCAGUCAAAAAAAACAGACUGAUGGUUACUGCAAAGGUGAAUGAAGACCCUUAUUAUUUAUUAACAAAACUAUGUUAAUUCAAAUGUCAACAAUGAAUGGGAUGUGAAAGUGCAGGUAGUACAACACAUUAUCAUUACAUAGCUUCUUCCACAUUUUCAUAUUAAUCUGCAUUAACAUAAUGAGCAUUUGUCAUUAGCUCUCUACAUCCCAAAGUGUUUAUUUCCCGGAUAGUAACUCAGAGAGAAAUAAAAGGAUACAGUUGCAUAGAAAGAGUUUCCAGGCUCUUCAGUUCUUCAUUCAAUCUGUGGUAAACGAUAUAAAGAAUUUCAGCAAACUUUUGUAAUAAUAAUUGCAGCAGAUCGAUGAGAAUUAUUUACUACAGAAAAGUAACCUGAUUAUGCCAAAAAACCUAAGAAAAAAGGUUAUACUUUUCGAGAGAGAGAGAGAGAGAGAGAGAGAG